ACGACUUGAGCCAUUGCAGAGCGCCCCUGGGAUCCGGCUGGAUGCACCACAUUCCAAUGCGAAGCAGCUUCUCGGCCUUAGAGAUCGAAGCUUCUCAAACGCCCAUGCCGCCAGGAACUUUGCCUCCCGCAAGACAGAAAGCUUGUAGUCCAGUUGCCAUUUGCAGCACAAGGAUCCCAAAGCUGUAGACGUCCAGUUUGUCGCUCACUCUCAUCUCAUGUAUCCGGGUGUUCCUCGGAUCAUGGUCAUGACAUCGCUUAGAUCUCCUUGCUCUACCAUCCUGCCGUGCCAAAGCGAUUUUCUUACUGAAGGAGUGUGGAGCUCCGGGUACGUGAAGACGCACGCGCACCACGUCCAUAGCACCGGAUGGAAACGAUGGUUUGUAGUGUUUGAGCCAUGGUUGCCACAGAGAAAGCCCCGACGAUGGCUGGCUUUGCCUUUUUCUGUUGCUUGGCUUCUUUGUUCUGCGAGCUGCCUGGUGCUGAGAGCUUUGGAAGAUCUCCAGCUUGGUACAACUUGAUCGAAAACAGCGAAGCUUGAUCGGCGACGUUGCGAGUUCUGUUCAGAGCAAAAACUUCAUUCAUCUGGAAACAGGUACUCGUUUUCUCCUGGCUUAGCACUACUUUGCACGAACAGUUUUUGAUACACAUGGCCAUGCAUGCUGCUGGAGUGACGUUGUGGAGCGCACUGGAUAAAUCUAGAGGUUUGUAGAAGUAUCGUACUGU